CAAGGAAUUUUGGGCAAUGGGCGAAAGCCUGACCCAGCGACACCGCGUGAGGGAAUAAGGCCUUCGGGUUGUAAACCUCUUUUCCUGGGGAAGAAUCUCGACGGUACCCAGGGAAUAAGCCUCGGCCAACUACGUGCCAGCAGCCGCGGUAAUACGUAGGAGGCAAACGUUAUUCGGAUUUACUGGGCGUAAAGGGAGCGUAGGCGGUUCCCUAGUCGGAUGUGAAAUCUUCUGGCUCAAUCAGAAGGCGCCAUUUGAUACUGAGGAACUUGAGAGCAGCAGAGGGAAAUGGAAUCUGCAGUGUAGCGGUGAAAUGCGUAGAUAUUGCAGAGAACACCAGUGGCGAAGGCGGUUUCCCAGGCUGUUUCUGACGCUGAGGCUCGAAAGCGUGGGGAGCGAAGCGGAUUAGAUACCCGCGUAGUCCACGCCCUAAACGGUGGACACUAGAUAUAGGAGGUAUCGACCCUUUCUGUGUCGAAGCUAACGCUUUAAGUGUCCCGCCUGGGGAGUACGGCCGCAAGGCUG
rnacentral:rRNA from 1 species